rnacentral:rRNA from 1 species
AUGGCGUCGUCGUCGGCGGCGGCGGCGGCGGCUGCGACCCCUUCCAGCGGAGCUGCGAUGGAAUCCGACGGGCUCGAGUUCUUGCUGGAUCCAGUAGACCGGUUCCCGCCUAGGGAAGAAUUCGCGGAAAGGUUUGAGCACUCAUAUCCUGUGCCACUGGCGUUACUGUCGCCACGCGAGGAGGCGCCUGCUUUGCCGGCGGAUUCCAAUUUGCGGCUCCGGCUGUGCGCAGCGGGUAGGGAGCUGCAGCCCUGGGCGGUCUGCAGGCGAGUGCUGCCGGAGGAAGAAUGCCUCGCCGACCCAAUCUGCGAAAUCCACUGGGAUGGUGAAUCCCGAAGCCCCCUGAUGGACGAAGAGAGGUAA